AGCGUACACGGUGGAUGCCCUGGCAGUCAGAGGCGAUGAAGGACGUGCUAAUCUGCGAUAAGCGUCGGUAAGGUGAUAUGAACCGUUAUAACCGGCGAUUUCCGAAUGGGGAAACCCAGUGUGAUUCGUCACACUAUCAUUAACUGAAUCCAUAGGUUAAUGAGGCGAACCGGGGGAACUGAAACAUCUAAGUACCCCGAGGAAAAGAAAUCAACCGAGAUUCCCCCAGUAGCGGCGAGCGAACGGGGAGCAGCCCAGAGCCUGAAUCAGUGUGUGUGUUAGUGGAAGCGUCUGGAAAGGCGCGCGAUACAGGGUGACAGCCCCGUACACAAAAAUGCACAUGCUGUGAGCUCGAUGAGUAGGGCGGGACACGUGGUAUCCUGUCUGAAUAUGGGGGGACCAUCCUCCAAGGCUAAAUACUCCUGACUGACCGAUAGUGAACCAGUACCGUGAGGGAAAGGCGAAAAGAACCCCGGCGAGGGGAGUGAAAAAGAACCUGAAACCGUGUACGUACAAGCAGUGGGAGCACAGAGCAAUCUGUGUGACUGCGUACCUUUUGUAUAAUGGGUCAGCGACUUAUAUUCUGUAGCAAGGUUAACCGAAUAGGGGAGCCGAAGGGAAACCGAGUCUUAACUGGGCGUUAAGUUGCAGGGUAUAGACCCGAAACCCGGUGAUCUAGCCAUGGGCAGGUUGAAGGUUGGGUAACACUAACUGGAGGACCGAACCGACUAAUGUUGAAAAAUUAGCGGAUGACUUGUGGCUGGGGGUGAAAGGCCAAUCAAACCGGGAGAUAGCUGGUUCUCCCCGAAAGCUAUUUAGGUAGCGCCUCGUGAAUUCAUCUCCGGGGGUAGAGCACUGUUUCGGCAAGGGGGUCAUCCCGACUUACCAACCCGAUGCAAACUGCGAAUACCGGAGAAUGUUAUCACGGGAGACACACGGCGGGUGCUAACGUCCGUCGUGAAGAGGGAAACAACCCAGACCGCCAGCUAAGGUCCCAAAGUCAUGGUUAAGUGGGAAACGAUGUGGGAAGGCCCAGACAGCCAGGAUGUUGGCUUAGAAGCAGCCAUCAUUUAAAGAAAGCGUAAUAGCUCACUGGUCGAGUCGGCCUGCGCGGAAGAUGUAACGGGGCUAAACCAUGCACCGAAGCUGCGGCAGCGACGCUUAUGCGUUGUUGGGUAGGGGAGCGUUCUGUAAGCCUGCGAAGGUGUGCUGUGAGGCAUGCUGGAGGUAUCAGAAGUGCGAAUGCUGACAUAAGUAACGAUAAAGCGGGUGAAAAGCCCGCUCGCCGGAAGACCAAGGGUUCCUGUCCAACGUUAAUCGGGGCAGGGUGAGUCGACCCCUAAGGCGAGGCCGAAAGGCGUAGUCGAUGGGAAACAGGUUAAUAUUCCUGUACUUGGUGUUACUGCGAAGGGGGGACGGAGAAGGCUAUGUUGGCCGGGCGACGGUUGUCCCGGUUUAAGCGUGUAGGCUGGUUUUCCAGGCAAAUCCGGAAAAUCAAGGCUGAGGCGUGAUGACGAGGCACUACGGUGCUGAAGCAACAAAUGCCCUGCUUCCAGGAAAAGCCUCUAAGCAUCAGGUAACAUCAAAUCGUACCCCAAACCGACACAGGUGGUCAGGUAGAGAAUACCAAGGCGCUUGAGAGAACUCGGGUGAAGGAACUAGGCAAAAUGGUGCCGUAACUUCGGGAGAAGGCACGCUGAUAUGUAGGUGAAGCGACUUGCUCGUGGAGCUGAAAUCAGUCGAAGAUACCAGCUGGCUGCAACUGUUUAUUAAAAACACAGCACUGUGCAAACACGAAAGUGGACGUAUACGGUGUGACGCCUGCCCGGUGCCGGAAGGUUAAUUGAUGGGGUUAGCGCAAGCGAAGCUCUUGAUCGAAGCCCCGGUAAACGGCGGCCGUAACUAUAACGGUCCUAAGGUAGCGAAAUUCCUUGUCGGGUAAGUUCCGACCUGCACGAAUGGCGUAAUGAUGGCCAGGCUGUCUCCACCCGAGACUCAGUGAAAUUGAACUCGCUGUGAAGAUGCAGUGUACCCGCGGCAAGACGGAAAGACCCCGUGAACCUUUACUAUAGCUUGACACUGAACAUUGAGCCUUGAUGUGUAGGAUAGGUGGGAGGCUUUGAAGUGUGGACGCCAGUCUGCAUGGAGCCGACCUUGAAAUACCACCCUUUAAUGUUUGAUGUUCUAACGUGGACCCGUAAUCCGGGUUGCGGACAGUGUCUGGUGGGUAGUUUGACUGGGGCGGUCUCCUCCUAAAGAGUAACGGAGGAGCACGAAGGUUGGCUAAUCCUGGUCGGACAUCAGGAGGUUAGUGCAAUGGCAUAAGCCAGCUUGACUGCGAGCGUGACGGCGCGAGCAGGUGCGAAAGCAGGUCAUAGUGAUCCGGUGGUUCUGAAUGGAAGGGCCAUCGCUCAACGGAUAAAAGGUACUCCGGGGAUAACAGGCUGAUACCGCCCAAGAGUUCAUAUCGACGGCGGUGUUUGGCACCUCGAUGUCGGCUCAUCACAUCCUGGGGCUGAAGUAGGUCCCAAGGGUAUGGCUGUUCGCCAUUUAAAGUGGUACGCGAGCUGGGUUUAGAACGUCGUGAGACAGUUCGGUCCCUAUCUGCCGUGGGCGCUGGAGAAUUGAGGGGGGCUGCUCCUAGUACGAGAGGACCGGAGUGGACGCAUCACUGGUGUUCGGGUUGUCAUGCCAAUGGCACUGCCCGGUAGCUAAAUGCGGAAGAGAUAAGUGCUGAAAGCAUCUAAGCACGAAACUUGCCCCGAGAUGAGUUCUCCCUGACUCCUUGA
rnacentral:rRNA from 1 species